rnacentral:rRNA from 1 species
UCGGGAAUUUUGGGCAAUGGGCGAAAGCCUGACCCAGCAACGCCGCGUGAAGGAUGAAGUAUUUCGGUAUGUAAACUUCGAAAGAAUAGGAAGAAUAAAUGACGGUACUAUUUAUAAGGUCCGGCUAACUACGUGCCGGCAGCCGCGGUAAUACGUAGGGACCAAGCGUUGUUCGGAUUUACUGGGCGUAAAGGGCGCGUAGGCGGCAAUUCAAGUCAUCUGUGAAAUCUCCGGGCUUAACUCGGAACGGUCAGAUGAUACUGCUUUGCUAGAGUGCAGAAGGGGCAAUCGGAAUUCUUGGUGUAGCGGUGAAAUGCGUAGAUAUCAAGAGGAACACCUGAGGUGAAGACGGGUUGCUGGGCUGACACUGACGCUGAGGCGCGAAAGCCAGGGGAGCAAACGGGAUUAGAUACCCUGGUAGUCCCUGAGCGGGCUGGCAAGGCGCAU